UACGAAGGGGGCUAGCGUUGCUCGGAAUCACUGGGCGUAAAGGGUGCGUAGGCAGGUUCUUAAGUCAGAGGUGAAAUCCUGGAGCUCAACUCCAGAACUGCCUUUGAUACUGAGAGUCUUGAGUUCGGGAGAGGUGAGUGGAACUGCGAGUGUAGAGGUGAAAUUCGUAGAUAUUCGCAAGAACACCAGUGGCGAAGGCGGCUCACUGGCCCGAUACUGACGCUGAGGCACGAAAGCGUGGGGAGCAAACAGG
rnacentral:rRNA from 1 species